rnacentral:rRNA from 1 species
CAGGUAGUCAAGAUGAGAAUUCUAAGGUGAGCGAGCGAACUCUCGUUAAGGAACUCGGCAAAAUGACCCCGUAACUUCGGGAGAAGGGGUGCUCUUUAGGGUUAACGCCCAGAAGAGCCGCAGUGAAUAGGCCCAAGCGACUGUUUAUCAAAAACACAGGUCUCUGCUAAACCGUAAGGUGAUGUAUAGGGGCUGACGCCUGCCCGGUGCUGGAAGGUUAAGAGGAGUGGUUAGCUUCUGCGAAGCUACGAAUCGAAGCCCCAGUAAACGGCGGCCGUAACUAUAACGGUCCUAAGGUAGCGAAAUUCCUUGUCGGGUAAGUUCCGACCCGCACGAAAGGCGUAACGAUUUGGGCACUGUCUCAACGAGAGACUCGGUGAAAUCAUAGUACCUGUGAAGAUGCAGGUUACCCGCGACAGGACGGAAAGACCCCGUGGAGCUUUACUGUAGCCUGAUAUUGAAAUUCGGCACAGCUUGUACAGGAUAGGUAGGAGCCUUUGAAACGUGAGCGCUAGCUUACGUGGAGGCGCUGGUGGGAUACUACCCUAGCUGUGUUGGCUUUCUAACCCGCACCACUUAUCGUGGUGGGAGACAGUGUCAGGCGGGCAGUUUGACUGGGGCGGUCGCCUCCUAAAAGGUAACGGAGGCGCUCAAAGGUUCCCUCAGAAUGGUUGGAAAUCAUUCAUAGAGUGUAAAGGCAUAAGGGAGCUUGACUGCGAGACCUACAAGUCGAGCAGGGUCGAAAGACGGACUUAGUGAUCCGGUGGUUCCGCAUGGAAGGGCCAUCGCUCAACGGAUAAAAGCUACCCCGGGGAUAACAGGCUUAUCUCCCCCAAGAGUUCACAUCGACGGGGAGGUUUGGCACCUCGAUGUCGGCUCAUCGCAUCCUGGGGCUGUAGUCGGUCCCAAGGGUUGGGCUGUUCGCCCAUUAAAGCGGUACGCGAGCUGGGUUCAGAACGUCGUGAGACAGUUCGGUCCCUAUCCGUCGUGGGCGUAGGAAAUUUGAGAGGAGCUGUCCUUAGUACGAGAGGACCGGGAUGGACAUACCUCUGGUGUACCAGUUGUCGUGCCAACGGCAUAGCUGGGUAGCUAUGUGUGGACGGGAUAAGUGCUGAAAGCAUCUAAGCAUGAAGCCCCCCUCAAGAUGAGAUUUCCCAACUUCGGUUAUAAGAUCCCUCAAAGAUGAUGAGGUUAAUAGGUUCGAGGUGGAAGCAUGGUGACAUGUGGAGCUGACGAAUACUAAUCGAUCGAAGACUUAAUCAA